rnacentral:ncRNA from 1 species
CAAAAUCCUAUGAAAGAGAGAGUAUGUAUAGUAACUAUUUUCAGCGAGCUAGAGUUGGUGUGAGUCUAGUAGUAGUCUAUACAGAAAAGAACUCUUGAGGAUAUUUUCUGAAGUAGUAGUAAGAAAAUACGUAUUUACCUGCGUUAAAGGUUUAUGAGAGGGCUUUAUAGCCAAUAAGAGUGGCAACACGGGAUAAAAUCUCGUCUCUUAA